rnacentral:rRNA from 1 species
GUUAUCGGAAUGGGUACAAUUUAAACCCGUUAACGAGGAUCUAUGAGAGGGCAAGUCUGGUGCCAGCAGCCGCGGUAAUUCCAGCUCUCAAAGUGUAUAUCGUCAUUGCUGCGGUUAAAAAGCUCGUAGUUGGAUCUGCGCUUGAGGACUCGGUCCACCUUGAUGGGUGCUGAACUGGGGCUCCUCGGCUAGUUUCUGCUGGUUUUCCCUACGUUGCCUUUACCGGUUGCGUAGGGUGGCUGGCGAGUUUACUUUGAAAAAAUUAGAGUGCUUCAAGCGGGCUUUAAGUCUGAAUAUUUGUGCAUGGAAUAAUAGAAUAGGAUCUCGGUUCUAUUUUGUUGGUUUUCUGAACUGCGAUAAUGGUUAAGAGGGACAGACGGGGGCAUUCGUAUCGCUGCGUGAGAGGUGAAAUUCUUGGACCGUAGCGAGACGCCCGACUGCGAAAGCAUUUGCCAAGAAUGUCUUCAUUAAUCAAGAACGAAAGUCAGAGGUUCGAAGGCGAUCAGAUACCGCCCUAGUUCUGACCGUAAACGAUACCAACUAGCGUUCCGCCGCUGGCAAGCACGCCAUGGCGGGCAGCUUCCCGGAAACGAAAGUUUUUCGGUUCCGGGGGAAGUAUGGUUGCAAAGCUGAAACUUAAAGAAAUUGACGGAAGGGCACCACCAGGAGUGGAGCCUGCGGCUUAAUUUGACUCAACACGGGAAAACUCACCUGGCCCGGACACCGUGAGGAUUGACAGAUUGAGAGCUCUUUCUUGAUUCGGUGGUUGGUGGUGCAUGGCCGUU